UACGUAGGGGGCAAGCGUUGUCCGGAUUUAUUGGGCGUAAAGAGCGUGUAGGCGGCCAUGCAGGUCCGUUGUGAAAACUCGAGGCUCAACCUCGAGACGCCGGUGGAAACCGCAUGGCUAGAGUCCGGAAGAGGAGAGUGGAAUUUCCGGUGGAGCGGUGAAAUGCGUAGAGAUCGGAAAGAACACCAACGGCGAAAGCACUCUGCUGGGCCGACACUGACACUGAGAGACGAAAGCUAGGGGAGCGAAUGGG
rnacentral:rRNA from 1 species